rnacentral:rRNA from 1 species
AUGUCACCGGCAGCCUCCCGCCUGAUGAUCGGUCAUGUCCAACAGUUAGUACUACAACUUAGGGAAACGGCCAUGAAUUGCUCAGAAUGGAGUGAAAGUGUGAGACAAAAUCUCACCGGGGUUGUGCUCGCCGAAGAGGACCUGGGCAAUGGCAAUGCCACCAGCCUGGCCAGGGUAACCAGCCCAGACAAUGGCGCCGAUCUUAGGAUUGUUCUUGGCGAACGUCACGUCCACUGGGCCACCGCAAAGCAGCACCAAGAUCACCGGCUUCUUCGCCGCGUCGGCAACCUUGUUGACAAGGCUCUCCUGCAUCCCGGGGAGCCCCAGCUCCAGCCUAUCCACCUCCUCCCUCUCCUGGUUCUGAUCCAGCCCCAUGAACAGCACGACGUAGUCCGCCCCGCUGGCCGCGUGCACCGCCUCGCCGAUGUUCGACACGUUGCAGACAGCGGCGUUGCACCCCUGGACGAACGUCGCGUCCUUGACGUACCCCUGCAGCGCCUGGAACGGCGUGACGGAGAUGCAGGGCGGGCCGAAGUAGUUGCCGAGCAGCAGCGACGCGUUGUUGCCAUUGGGCCCGAUGACGGCGACGGAGGAGACCUUGGACUUGGAGAGGGGCAGCGCGCCGGCGUCGUUCUUGAGCAGGACGAUGCCGUCCUGCGCCGCCUGCAGGGCCAGGUCCUGGUGCUCCUUCUUGCACACCUGGUCGGCGCCGAUGUUGCCGUACCGGUUGUACUUUGGGUUGCCGUUGAAGAGGCCCAGCCUCAUCCUGAUGGCGAAGAGGUUGCGGAGCGCCCGGUCGAUGUCCUCCCCCGUGAUCUUGCCCUGCUGGUACGCCGACACGCCGUGCGUCUGGAUGUAGCCGCCGCAGUUCACGUCCAUACCUUGAAUGUUUUCAGGUUACAAAAUGGUUUUUAA